CAGGGACGCUGUUUGACCUCCAGCGGUCGUCACCGCCUGCGGUGAAAACCACCACCUCCUCGUCUUGAAGUGACAGCUCCGGCCUGGAAUUACAUGUUGGACGUGUCCUUGACGAACUCACUCAUCCUGACAUCAACAGCAGAUGCGUAAAAGAAGGAAAGCAUCAAAAUAACAAAGCUGAAUAAGAUAAGUGAGCUGUUGGCUGUAAUUCCAUUGUGGUGACAACACUGUGCACCAUUAGGGACAAAGAAGCACUUACUGAUGUGUGACUGUCGUCUGCUCCAUGACUGGAAGCAACUGGCAUCCAGAGGGGGGUGAGGCGCGGAGAUGAGAGAGCGGAGGGCGAGCAGGAAGUCAGCAGCAACGAGGAGGUGGAGGGGGGAGGAGUGACACUUCCCCAGCGAGCGGGCGUGUGUGGAGGCUGAUAAAGCAGCAGCCGGGCGGCCGGGCCAGAAGCUGCGUGACCAAGAUAAGUCGAGUUGUCUUCUGUCUCCACUUUACCGCGUCCCGCUAUAACGCAGCCAGCGGAGGGAAGGCAGAUACACAUCAGGCUUUGGGAAUACGAUCAGAUGUGAAUUAGUGCAUAUGUUCAAUCUAGUCAGAGCCGGCAGCUGUUUUAUAAAUAAUUCACGUGUCUAAUAAAUAACAAUGAUAUUCACAAGGAAUAAAAGUCACACACUCAUUGGACGUGUUGAAGUAUCAGUUAGUUUGACUCAUGACAUUCAGUCACAUUCAUAGUUUGCCCUUAUUAAAGCGACAUACAGUAAAUGUUAGACUCACCCUUAAGGCAGCAGCACAGACUUGGAGUCAAGAAGUGAAAGACGCAUUUCAGAACCAGGCAAACACCAGCGGUUCAUGCAUUCGUGCAUUUCCUGUGCUCUGGCGCUGACCUUUAGGUUUCAGCAUUGGGGGAAAGAGGUGAGGGGAGCGGUACGUGCCAGAAGCACACGUAGUGAAACCGUCUGCAGACAGGCUCAAAACAAACCCAAACAUUUAGUUUAGCUCCUUUUCAGUGUUUUGUGGUAGUAAUAAACAGUAAAUGAAGCUUAUUUAUUUGCUCCUCGUAGGUUCACCUGCCACUUGAACCUGCAAUUCAAACCUCCAGCAGAUCCAGGAUCAGGGCGGCCAUUCGCCCCGACCGGCGAGGUGUCAGCGAAGACGCAAAAGAACAAAAGACAACACAAAGAGCAGCAGCAACAAGAGGCAGAUAAUAGGACGGACAAGUCGGCGCAGCCUGUAAGUGCAGAGAAAACACGGGCUCCAAGGCUGAGCACAGCUGCAGAAAGACAGAGAGCGAGACAGCAGGAGCAAAACUACAGGAGAAGGAGGAAGCCGAGGCGUCGCGGAGGCUCACAGGGUCCUCGUUGUCGGUACGACGGGGCCAAAAGCUUAUGACUUCCCCAAACCAUGACACAUUCCUGGUAUGUGUUUUACUCUUGUGUGGAACACCUGCCUUAUGAGAAAUAAAGCAGCACAGAGGAGAAAAACAACAGUGAGGCGCUGAAUAUUUCACAAGUUUUAUUUUAUUUCUGGAAAAGCAGUGGGGGAAGCAGCAGCCAUGGCUACGCUGUGGAUGCUGCUUUCCUCAGCUAGAAAACAGGGAAGCUGUCUGACAAGCUGACGCGAGGGAAGGACACGUCUCCACUCAAACCAACACAGCAGACGCGUUAGCAUCUAUACGGAAAACAAUAGAAUGACGAGGAUGCAAAGGAGGUUGGCCUUCGACCAAAAAAAAAUGCU